rnacentral:rRNA from 1 species
GAACGUCGUGAGACAGUUCGGUCCCUAUCCGUCGCGGGCGUAGGAAAUUUGAGAAGAGCUAUCCUUAGUACGAGAGGACCGGGAUGGACGCACCGCUGGUGUACCAGUUGUUCUGCCAAGGGCAUCGCUGGGUAGCUAUGUGCGGGAUGGAUAAGCGCUGAAAGCAUCUAAGCGUGAAGCCAGCUUCAAGAUGAGAUUUCCCAUUCGAAAGAAGUAAGACCCCUGAGAGACGAUCAGGUAGAUAGGCUAGAAGUGGAAGUGGAGUGAUCCAUGGAGCGGACUAGUACUAAUCGGUCGAGGUCUUAACCACAA